rnacentral:rRNA from 1 species
GACGAACGCUGGCGGUGUGCCUAACACAUGCAAGUCGAACGGAGCCAGCCCCUUCGGGGACUGACUUAGUGGCGAACGGGUGAGUAACGCGUGAGAAACCUGCCUUUCAGUGGGGGACAACAGUUGGAAACGACUGCUAAUACCGCAUAAUGUCAUUUGGGGGCAUCCUCGAAUGACCAAAGAUUUAUUGCUGAAAGAUGGUCUCGCGUCUGAUUAGCUAGAUGGCGGGGUAACGGCCCACCAUGGCGACGAUCAGUAGCCGGUCUGAGAGGAUGAUCGGCCACAUUGGAACUGAGACACGGUCCAAACUCCUACGGGAGGCAGCAGUGGGAAUAUUGCACAAUGGGCGAAAGCCUGAUGCAGCAACGCCGCGUGAAGGAAGAAGGUCUUCGGAUCGUAAACUUCUGUCCUUAGGGAAGAUAAUGACGGUACCUUUGGAGGAAGCCCCGGCUAACUACGUG